rnacentral:rRNA from 1 species
GACGAACGCUGGCGGCGUGCUUAACACAUGCAAGUCGAACGGAAAGGCCCUGCUUUUGUGGGGUGCUCGAGUGGCGAACGGGUGAGUAACACGUGAGUAACCUGCCCUUGACUUUGGGAUAACUUCAGGAAACUGGGGCUAAUACCGGAUAGGAGCUCCUGCUGCAUGGUGGGGGUUGGAAAGUUUCGGCGGUUGGGGAUGGACUCGCGGCUUAUCAGCUUGUUGGUGGGGUAGUGGCUUACCAAGGCUUUGACGGGUAGCCGGCCUGAGAGGGUGACCGGCCACAUUGGGACUGAGAUACGGCCCAGACUCCUACGGGAGGCAGCAGUGGGGAAUAUUGCGCAAUGGGCGGAAGCCUGAUGCAGCAACGCCGCGUGCGGGAUGACGGCCUUCGGGUUGUAAACCGCUUUCGCCUGUGACGAAGCGUGAGUGACGGUAGUGGGUAAAGAAGCACCGGCUAACUACGUG